rnacentral:tRNA from 1 species
CAAAUUAAAGCUUUUAUGAAGCAUUUUAGUUACAUUAAAAAGAAUAUUAUAUUUAAUAUAAUUUGA